UCUACCGUCUGGCUCUCCUCCGCUGCCACCAUGAGCUUCACCACUCGCUCCACCACCUACUCCUCCAACUACCGGUCCCUGGGCUCCAUCCCGCCACCCAGCCUGCGGUCCACCAGCAGCGCGGCCAGCAUCUAUGCAGGCGCCGGCGGCUCGGGCUCCCGGAUCUCUGUGUCCCGCUCCACCAGUUUCCGGGGCGGCUGGGGGUCCGGGGGCUUGGCCACGGGGAUGGCCGGGAGUCUGGGGGGCAUCCAGAGCGAGAAGGAGACCAUGCAAGAGCUGAACGACCGCCUGGCCUCUUACCUGGACAGGGUGAGGAGCCUGGAGACCGAGAACCGGAGGCUGGAGAGCAAAAUCCGGGAACACCUGGAGAAGAAGGGACCCCAGGUCAGAGACUGGGGACAUUACUUCAAGACCAUCGAGGACCUGAGGGCUCAGAUCUUUGCAACUUCUGUGGACAAUGCCCGUAUCGUUCUGCAGACUGACAAUGCCCAUCUUGCUGCUGAUGACCUUAGAGUCAAGUUUGAGACAGAGCUGGCCAUGCGCCAGUCCGUGGAGAGCGACAUCCAUGGGCUCCGCAAGGUCAUCGAUAACACCACUGUCACCCAGCUGCAGCUGGAGACAGAGAUCGAGGCCCUCAAGGAAGAGCUGCUCUUCAUGAAGAAGAACCAUGAGGAGGAAGUAAAAGGCCUACAGGCCCAGAUUGCCAGCUCUGGGUUGACCGUGGAGGUAGAUGUCCCCAAAUCUCAGGACCUCAGCAAGAUCAUGGCGGGCAUCCGGGUCCAGUAUGAUGAACUGGCUCAGAAGAACCGAGAGGAGCUGGACAAGUACUGGUCCCAGCAGACUGAGGAGAGCACCACAGUGGUCACCACGCAGUCCGCUGAGAUUGGAGCUGCCGAGAUGACGCUCACAGAGCUGAAACGUACAGCGCAGUCCUUGGAGAUUGACCUGGACUCCAUGAGAAACCUGAAGGCCAGCUUGGAGAACAGCCUGAGAGAAGUGGAGACCCGCUACGCCAUGCAGAUGGAGCAGCUCAAUGGCACCCUGCUGCACCUGGAGUCUGAGCUGGCACAGACCCGAACAGAGGGCCGGCGCCAGACCCAGGAGUACGAGUCCCUACUGAACAUCAAGGUCAAGCGGGAGGCUGAGAUAGCCACCUACCGCCGCCUAUUAGAAGACGGAGAGGACUUCAGUGUCAGUGAUGGCCUGGACAGCAGCAGCUACAUCCAGACCACCCAAAAGACCACCCACAAGAUAGUGGACGGCAAAUUGGUGUCUGAGACCAAUGACACCAAAAUUCUGAGGCGUUGAGGCGGCAGGAACAGGGCGUCCUUCGGGGAAGCAGGAAGUCAAGAAAAAGUUCAGAGGUCAUUGGAAA